rnacentral:rRNA from 1 species
GACGAACGCUGGCGGCGUGCUUAACACAUGCGAGUCGAACGGAAAGGCCCUGCUUUUGUGGGGUGCUCGAGUGGCGAACGGGUGAGUAACACGUGAGUAACCUGCCCUUGACUUUGGGGUAACUUCAGGAAACUGGGGCUAAUACCGGAUAGGAGCUCCUGCUGCAUGGUGGGGGUUGGAAAGUUUCGGCGGUUGGGGAUGGACUCGCGGCUUAUCAGCUUGUUGGUGGGGGAGUGGUUUACCAAGGCUUUGACGGGUAGCCGGCCUGAGAGGGUGACCGGCCACAUUGGGACUGAGAUACGGCCCAGACUCCUACGGGAGGCAGCAGUGGGGAAUAUUGCACAAUGGGCGGAAGCCUGAUGCAGCAACGCCGCGUGCGGGAUGACGGCCUUCGGGUUGUAAACCGCUUUCGCCUGUGACGAAGCGUGAGUGACGGUAAUGGGUAAAGAAGCACCGGCUAACUACGUG